GAUUGGGGGUUGAUACGAGCAAAUUAUUUAAUUGCUUUCAUAUUCUACAGGACAACUAUAAGGCCUGCUGUGUUAUAGUACAUGAUGAUGAACAAUUAGAAACCAUGCUAACAAAUGAGAAAAGCCGAAAUGAGGGGUGUUAAGAUGGAUGAGUGGUAAUAUGAGAAGAUAUAGAUUAAGAAAUGAUUGUAUUUGUAAGAAGUUAGAGAUGGAAUCAAUGAAGCAGAGGCCUGCCUAGAAUUGUAAAAUAAUAAAAAAAUAAAAAAUCUUUUUAAUUGUUUUAUUGAUGGUUUGAGUUGAAUGGUAAUUUAAUGUUCAGUGCCUGUUGGAUUAUACUGGAAAAUAAAUUAAUUGUCUUUGCAUGGCUGAGAAGAUUUAUAUAUCAAGAGUUGUGAAUUCAAUAU
rnacentral:lncRNA from 1 species